ensembl:lncRNA
UACCUUUAACAGCAUUGUCUGUCUAAGUGUGAAAGCUCACGGACAUCAUUAAUACACCAUAUCACCUGAAUACUCAGCAGAGGGGGCUGGCUCCUGUUCUCACACAUUGCUGAGAGAAAGCUGAGCUGUCCAGAGGUAUUCAGGAGCUUCCUGCAAUAACACCGUGCUGCCUGUCAUAAACACAUUACUUAAGGAAAGUUCCGUGUUCCAACAUCUGAUCUGCACAUUGGCUGAAGAUCCCAGAACUUUUCCUGAUGCCUGUGUAAGGGAGUUUUGCUCUGCCGUACUGUUCUCCUGCACUGAGCAAGUUACGAUGUCAGACAGUUCAUCUUCACUGGAGUUGUAACCAUCACACUGAAGACACCAUGGGAUGAAGCUCCCAUGUUGUCUUCACCUGGAGUCGACACCUUCAGGGAGAAGUUGGCAUCAAAUUAAACUCAGUGUGUCAGGGCAGCACGGAACUAACCCUGGUACAUGAUGGAUGAACCUGAGACUCUGAUUUAAAACUGACAAAAUGGUGCAAGAGCGUGCUGUUGUCCUUACUGUCCCUGUAAUUUCUCUGAGAUCCCCAUCACUGAAAACCAAGCCAAGCUGUGUUUCAGAGAUUUCAAUGCAGAAACAAGAAAAAGUUUCACUGAGGUUAAGUAAUUUUCAGCAUUGCUGUUGAGAAAUGCCAUCUACCAUGGCUGAAAUCACUGACAAGAACAUGCCAGCAAGACCCAAUUUGACAGCAAAAAAAGGAAGGGGAAAAAAUGAUUGAUUGAUUGAUUGAUUGAUGAAAAGAAUUAUUACAGUGUUUCCAGCUGUUUCCAUCACUCAGCUCCUUUGCAAAAUAAGAAAGAAGAAUGUCUGAGCCACAGCUCUCCAAGUACAUGAACGCUGUGGCCGGGGGAGACUCGUGGCUAUGGCUAACUCUGAGGGGAAAAUAAAAUCACAAAGAAACAACUUCUGAAAGAAGGGAGGAAAAUGAGAAGGGAUUAAUCAACAAGCAGCUGCUGGAAACUGUGAUACGACGUUGUUUCUGUCUUGUAAGCAGUCUGUCUUGUAGGCAGGACUUGAAACUAUGGAGAUACAAUGGAGAUGUUCCAGACCUGCUAACAGACCCCCUUAGUCAUGGAAGCAGCAACCUGUAGUAAAUCAUCCUGAAGGCCAAUGAAAGGUUUUUAACAACUUUAUUAAUGAACUGGAGAGGGAGGAGAAUGUCAGUGACAUCAGUAGGAAAUGUUACAUUUGUGUGUGUUGCAGGCAGAAAAAUUGCUCAAAGGCAGUUGUGGAGAUUAAAAUGAUAAGGCAGAAUUACUACAGACUCGUUCAAUUUUGGGAACUGUAACUGUUGAAAGGGGAGCCAAAUACAUUGUUCCUCACAACACGUACAGUCUGUCCAGAGAACAAGAGGAACUGCACUCUUGUAGAAAUGGAAGUCCAGCAGACAAAUAUCAAGGGGAGAUCAGCUGUUGGCAAGGGAUGGCUGGGAUUGUUCCACUGACCUGUUCCAUAGCUAUUCCUGGAAAAAGGUGCAAAGAAAGAGGAAAAAAACCCUAAAUUAAUCCAAAUGAAAAGGCUGGCUGACAUGGUCUAUGGCUGUGGUGAGGUACUGCUAAGUAAACAAAGCAUAUGGUGUUCCCCAACUGUGUCCAGCUUGGGAAAGAUGUAAAAAAAGCCCCCACAUGCAGUCUGUCAUGGAACACUGAAAUAGGAGAGCAAAGAAGUGGCUGUAAAUGUGGAUGUGU